rnacentral:rRNA from 1 species
UACGGAGGAUCCAAGCGUUAUCCGGAUUUAUUGGGUUUAAAGGGUGCGUAGGUGGUUUUUUAAGUCAGGGGUGAAAGACGGCAGCUUAACUGUCGCAGUGCCUUUGAUACUGAAGAACUUGAAUACACUAGAGGUAGGCGGAAUGUGACAAGUAGCGGUGAAAUGCAUAGAUAUGUCACAGAACACCGAUUGCGAAGGCAGCUUACUAUGGUGUCAUUGACACUGAGGCACGAAAGCGUGGGGAUCAAACAGG